rnacentral:rRNA from 1 species
UGAGAUGUUGGGUUAAGUCCCGUAACGAGCGCAACCCUUGUCCUUUGUUGCCAACACGUAAUGGUGGGAACUCAAAGGAGACUGCCGGUGACAAACCGGAGGAAGGUGGGGACGACGUCAAGUCAUCAUGGCCCUUACGUCCUGGGCUACACACGUGCUACAAUGGUUGGUACAGACGGUCGCUAAGCCGCGAGGUGGAGCUAAUCCGAGAAAACCAAUCGUAGUCCGGAUUGGAGUCUGCAACUCGACUCCAUGAAGUCGGAAUCGCUAGUAAUCGUGAAUCAGAAUGUCACGGUGAAUACGUUCCCGGGCCUUGUACACACCGCCCGUCACACCAUGGGAGUGGGUUGCUCCAGAAGUGGCUAGUCUAACCUUCGGGGGGACGGUCACCACGGAGUGAUUCAUGACUGGGGUGAAGUCGUAACAAGGUAACCGU